rnacentral:other from 1 species
CGUUCCCUGCGGUGUUCGUGAUGGGUAUUUAGUCUUGAGCCAACACCCGCUUUUAGGGAGCUAAGUUCGGCGAUCGGGUUUUUCCUUUCGUCGAACGGCGCCCACCUUAAACCUGGGUUCAUAGACUAGUGCUCACACGACACCCGCGGGGUAUUU